UGCAUGUGAGUGUGCUGGUUUUUGUUUCUAGUGUUCCUGGAAAAAAAAUCGGUCACAUAGUAAGAAAUUUGUCUAGUCUGAUGUCUUAGAGACUUUAGAGGGGGGAAAAGAUCAGAAUAUGCUCCCUUAUGGAUGCCCCGUCAUUUUCCUGGAAUAGAAAAGCUGUUCUCUCCCAGGUUUUGGAAAAGAUCCAGGGGUACAGCUGGGGCAGCUGUCGGGGCGUGGAGGGAACCAAGAAUCUGCUGGGACAGCACGUAAAGAUCAAUGCUAUGCCUCUCUGGGACACAUGAGUAGGAAAGGUAACAGCUUCUCCUUAACAUAUCCCAGUUACAGGACUGUGUAAUACUCAGAGCUAAGUAGCAUCAGUGGCUCGGUAACAAAGGGUUAACUAGUCUUCUCCCCCCCCCACACACACACAAAAAAAAAAAACUCCUGAAGUUUGACAUUCCCCAGCAAGGAGGAAUUUUCCAGGCCUAAAUUCAUCUCCUACCAGCAACAGCCCCUUUUUCCAAGUUUGGAAAAUACUGGAAGACUGGAAAUUGCAACAGCAUGAAAGAGAAAGCAGAAUCGAACAAGGAAGACGGGAAAGGUGACACCAUGUCUGUGAUAUACAGCGAGGUGGCUGCCGAUGAGCCAACUACCAAUAGCUUCUGGAUGCCCAAUCACUACCAGAACACAGUCAAACGUCUGGAUGAUGGGUAUCGUGUCUGUGACCAGAUUGUAGCCUGUUUCCAGGAACGGGCAAAGAUUGAACGUAACUAUGCUCUGAUGAUGGAUGAAUGGACUCGCAAAUGGCGGCCCCUUGUUGAUGCAGGCCCGGCAUAUGGUACCCUACUCCAUGCAUGGCAAGCUUUCCUGGGGGCUUCUGAGCGGUUAAGCCGCAUACACAUGGAAAUGCAAAGGGCUUUGGUUUCUGAGGAUGCUGGACGUAUCCGAUCCUGGCAGCACGACUCCUAUCACCGCAAGCUCUUUGGGGGCUUCAAGGAGGCUUGCGAGCUAGAAAAUGGUUUCCAGCGGGCUCAGAAACCCUGGACUAAGAAGCUCAAGAAGGCAGAGAAGGCCAAAACUCUUUAUCAUAAGGCCUGCCGCAAAGAGUACAUUGCAACACUGCGGGAGAGAGGAAUUCAGGUAACAUCUGGGGCUGAAGUAUCUCCAGAGCGGCAACGUACUUUGCGUGAAGAACAUCAACGUUGUAGACAAGAAACCAGCAAGGUCCGUGAACGUUACGAGAAGGCCCUGCAAGAGCUCGACCGUUGCAGCCCUCGCUACAUAGAAGAAAUGGAGUGUGUGUUUGAGCAGGGGCAAGCUCUGGAGCAGAGACGGAUUGUCUUUCUCAAAAGUGCCUUCCUCGCCCUGCAUCAGCGUCUGGAUAUGACUGCAGAUUCCAGCGUCCGAGCUGUUUAUAGUGACUUGCAUCAGGCCAUUGAGGAGAUAAAUGACCAAGAGGAUCUUAAAUGGUGGCGUAACCGAAAUGGUCCAGGAAUGCCCAUGAACUGGCCAAAAUUUGAGGACUGGAGUCCUGAUCAUGAGGGGCCACAAAUGAAAAUCAAGAAAAGUAAAGAACAAGAGAAAGUGAUACCUUGCAGCAUUUCCCCUAUCCAGAGCUGGAGAGCUUCUAACCAAAUUGGAAGAUGAGGAUGAACAAGGCUGGUGCAAAGGAGUGACUGACAGUGGACAUGUGGGCCUCUAUCCUGCCAACUACGUGGAACCCAUACAGGAGAUUGAAAGCACCUUGCCCUGAAGGGCUGGUCACACUUCACAAGAAGCACAACAAGAAAGAUGUCUCACAAUCCCACAAAUUCUCUUUAGUCAUAUCUUAAUCCAAAGAUCUGCCAGAUGUGAGAUGGAUGGCAAGUUAGUGAAGUAUGGGAAAUUUGUAGGACCCAACCAUACCAUUGUUUCAACACAUCCCUGGAUGACUGAUAUUUGAGGAAGAAAAGUUUUCAGAGGCAACUGCACUCCACCUAUAGAAGUAUACUCCAUCCAUCAAAGUGUGAAAACAAGGCUGAGAUAACUAAGUUGAAUUUGUGAACAUCUGUGGAUUUUGUUUAAAUGGUACUUUAGCACUUGUGGAUUUUGGAAAAUAAAUAAAUAAGUGAGGUGGC